GUGUCAGCAGCCGCGGUAAUACGGAGGAUGCAAGCGUUAUCCGGAAUCAUUGGGCGUAAAGCGUCCGUAGGUGGCACUUCAAGUCUGCUGUCAAAGGUCGGGGCUUAACUCCGAACAGGCAGUGGAAACUGAAGCGCUUGAGUGCGGUAGGGGCAGAGGGAAUUCCUGGUGUAGCGGUGAAAUGCGUAGAGAUCAGGAAGAACACCGGUGGCGAAAGCGCUCUGCUAGGCCGCAACUGACACUCAGGGACGAAAGCUAGGGGAGCGAAUGGGAUUAGAUACCCCAGUAGUCC
rnacentral:rRNA from 1 species